ensembl:lncRNA
UUGUAAUGCUUUUUUUAUUAAUAUUUGAAAAAACUGUGGCAUUCUCAUAUUAAAGAGACCCAGGGUCCACCCUUCUCUUGGCUCAUUUAAGGGCUAGCCUUCAAUGGGAGAACGUCUUCUGGGCAAUGGCUACUUUCUGAGAAGAAGUGUUUUGUAGUCAGAAACUGAAUCACUGCUUAGAUUUGAAAUAAUUUCUUCCUUUGAAAUGGAAUCAGUGUCAUAUGAGGAAAACCCUUCCUGACAUUUCUUUGAAACGGAAAAGGGAGGGGAGGAGAGGAGAGCCAAUUUACUAAAAUGAAAAUUGUUUUAGUGUUCUCAGGUUCUGAUGUGUUCUGGUGGAAGCCCCCCUUUCGACAGAAUGAUGACUCCUGCUCAGGACAAAGCAGUUUGUCAAGUUGUAACUCCAGGAAGUUCGUAACUAAGCAAUAGGUCAGCUGUUGAAAAGUUCAGAUCUAAAGAUGCUCAUUUGGGAAACUUCUGACAAGAAGUUCUCUGAGGCCUGCUCAGCCUACACAGAAGAAUCUAUCAAGAGAAACCUUCAAGUCUCACAGAGGAGGAGAUAUUUAUGUGGUCUAUAUGGUCAAAUAUAUAUAUGUAUAUCGAAUUCUGUGAUCAGAUCAGAAAGCCAACUGUAUCCUCGGUUGCAUCAAGAGAAGAGUGACCAGCAGGUUGAAGGAUGUGAUUCUGUCCCUCUACUCUGCUCCACCUGGAAUACUGCAUCCAGUUCUGGAGCCCCCAACACAAGGAGGACAUGGAGUUGUUGAAGCAAGUCCAGAGAGCUGGCUAGCGUGUAAAACACUCUACAACACUCUGCAAAGAGUGUAAAAUGCUGCAAAACAGCCUAAUCUCUACUGUAGCAUUCUGCUUUGAUAUUGAUGAUAACUUGAUGAAGUAACACAUGAAAAACUGUUCCAGAAAGUGCAAGAGAGGAAGAAAGAAGAAACAAAGACAACAUACUUCUUUUUCCCUCAAAAAUCAGGGGACGAAUUCACUCUGGACCUCAGGUUAAGUUAUGAAGGAUCUGGCACCAACUGGGUAUCUUUGAGGCAACAUGAGCAACUGGAAGCACUUACUGCAUUCAAACUUGUCAGUUUUUCACCUGUGGUAUUUUCUGGUCAGGUCAAGAAGUGCUUUCAGUGGAACUACAACAUCUAGAACAAAAAUUUGACACAGGUUGCCCUCAAGGCACUCACUGAUCUGAAGGGGUAAAGCAUGAGCACUGUAACAAAGAAUCUGAAGAAAGACCCUAGAGAAGGUGAAGAUGGGACUAGAGAAGAAGAGGCUCCAUUGUACUCAACAGCUGCAUAAAAAGUUUUCUAUCAAUAGCCCUAACAGGGAAAGUGAGCUAUCAGGUGCACAGGUCUAGAGAAGCUAAGGAAUUUAUGGUAGAUAUAUCUAGAUUUCCAUAAUUAGGCUCUCAUUAAGUACCUAUAUCUUAAUCAGAUAUAAAACCCAGUAUAUCCAUGACUUUAUCCAGUCCCUUGAGCACAGAUGGACAGUAGAACUGACCUCCUAGUUUUGUAAAAUGACAAAAGUAUCAAAAUGCAUUAAAUUCUUAUUACUUCAUCAGGCCACACCAACCAUACUCUUCUCAAAAUAACAUUAAAUCCUACUUAUGGUUACCCAGUAGGUCUGCGUGCAAUUGCCUUGCUCAUUUGGAUGUAUCAGCUUCUUUCUAACAGCAGCUUGUUGAUCUUUAGGAAAUUUUAGCUGCAAGUAUGCAAAUCUGCUAUACUGAUCUAAAUAUUUCCUCUUCUUUUCACCUAAUAAAAUAGAAACACAU